rnacentral:rRNA from 1 species
AUGAAGGCGCUGCUGGAGGUGAACGAGUACAACCCGAGUGGGCGCUACUUAGUGCCGGAGUUGUGGAACUUCAAGGAGAACCGGAAGGCGACGCUCAAGGAGGUGGUGGAGUUCGUCCUCAACCAGUGGUGCGCGCUCAAGAAGAGGAAGCGCUGA